UGACGUUAGGCUAGAUCACCUGCUGAAUUUAAGCAUAUAAGUAAGCGGAGGACAAGAAACUAAACAGGAUCCCCAUAGUAAUGGCGAAUGAACCGGGAUAAACUCAGCAUGGAAAUUGGGGCCUUUGGCUUUGACUUGUAAUCUGGUGAGGCAUUGCCAACAGAGGCGCAUAUGUAAGUCUCUUGGAAAAGAGCAUCAACGAAGGUGAGAGUCCUGAUUGUCAUGUGCAGCCCCCCUGUGCACGGUGUGCCUUCUAAGAGUCACGUUCCUUGGGAUUGGAGCGCAAAUUGGGUGGUAACUUUCAUCUGAAGUUAAACAAGGGUUUGGGACCGAUAGGAAACAAGUACCAUGAGGGAAAGGUGAAAAGGACUUUGGAAAGAGAGUUAAAAGUGCCUGAAAUUGCUGAAGGGGAAGCGAAUGGAACCAGUAGUGCUGGGUGAGAUUGUCACAUGCUACAAGGAUUGGUUGCUGCCACAACGCAAGUGUGAUGGCAAUUUGUGAAUUGCUAGUGUGUGGUGUGUCUUACCUAGUGGGUCAUUGUGGGUUUAUGCAUUAAGAUAAGUCAAAGCAAGCGGGAGCAAGUUUACGAGUUUGUGAAUGUGUGUUGUUAUGCUUGUGCGUAAGCUUUAAGGUUUGUCUGGCUGCAGGGCUGUCCAUCCUCGAGCUGAGGGUUGCGAUGAGCAUAACCUUCUGCGCAGAUCUUGACGAAAUGGUUUCAUUCGACCCGUCUUGAACA
rnacentral:rRNA from 1 species